rnacentral:rRNA from 1 species
AUUGAACGCUGGCGGCAUGCCUUACACAUGCAAGUCGAACGGCAGCACGGGGCAACCUGGUGGCGAGUGGCGAACGGGUGAGUAAUGCAUCGGAACGUGCCAUUGAGUGGGGGAGUAACGUAGCGAAAGUUAGCGCUAAUACCGCAUAUUCUGUGAGCAGGAAAGACAGGGACCGCAAGGCCUUGCGCUCUUUGAGCGGCCGAUGUCAGAUUAGCUAGUUGGUGAGGUAACGGCUUACCAAGGCGACGAUCUGUAGCGGGUCUGAGAGGAUGAUCCGCCACACUGGAACUGAGACACGGUCCAGACUCCUACGGGAGGCAGCAGUGGGGAAGUUUUGGACAAUGGGCGCAAGCCUGAUCCAGCCAUGCCGCGUGAGUGAAGAAGGCC